rnacentral:rRNA from 1 species
UGGGGAAUAUUGCACAAUGGGCGCAAGCCUGAUGCAGCCAUGCCGCGUGUGUGAAGAAGGCCUUCGGGUUGUAAAGCACUUUCAGCGAGGAGGAAGGUGGUGAGCUUAAUACGCUCAUCAAUUGACGUUACUCGCAGAAGAAGCACCGGCUAACUCCGUGCCAGCAGCCGCGGUAAUACGGAGGGUGCAAGCGUUAAUCGGAAUUACUGGGCGUAAAGCGCACGCAGGCGGUUUGUUAAGUCAGAUGUGAAAUCCCCGGGCUCAACCUGGGAACUGCAUUUGAAACUGGCAAGCUAGAGUCUCGUAGAGGGGGGUAGAAAUUCCAGGUGUAGCGGUGAAAUGCGUAGAGAUCUGGAGGAAUACCGGUGGCGAAGGCGGCCCCCUGGACGAAGACUGACGCUCAGGUGCGAAAAGCGUGGGGAGCAAAACAGGAUUAGAUACCCUGGUAGUCCACGCUGUAAAACGAUGUCGAUUUUGGAGGUUGUGCCCUUGAGGCGUGGCUUCCGGAGCUAACGCGUUAAAUCGACCGCCUGGGGAGUACGGCCGCAAGGUUAAAAACUCAAAAGGGAAUUGACGGGGUCAUAGCUGUUUCCU